rnacentral:rRNA from 1 species
GACGAACGCUGGCGGCGUGCUUAACACAUGCAAGUCGAACGGAAAGGCCCUGCUUUUGUGGGGUGCUCGAGUGGCGAACGGGUGAGUAACACGUGAGUAACCUGCCCUUGACUUUGGGAUAACUUCAGGAAACUGGGGCUAAUACCGGAUAGGAGCUCCUGCUGCAUGGUGGGGGUUGGAAAGUUUCGGCGGUUGGGGAUGGACUCGCGGCUUAUCAGCUUGUUGGUGGGGUAGUGGCUUACCAAGGCUUUGACGGGUAGCCGGCCUGAGAGGGUGACCGGCCACAUGGGGACUGAGAUACAGCCCAGACUCCUACGGGAGGCAGCAGUGGGAAAUAUUGCACAAUGGGCGGAAGCCUGAUGCAGCAACGCCGCGUGCGGGAUGACGGCCUUCGGGUUGUAAACCGCUUUCGCCUGUGACGAAGCGUGAGUGACGGUAAUGGGUAAGAAGCACCGGCUAACUACGUG